rnacentral:misc_RNA from 1 species
CCGUCAAUUCCUUUGAGUUUCAACCUUGCGAUCGUACUCCCCAGGUGCAAUACUUAUCACUUUCGCUUGGUCUCCGAAGCCAAUGGCCCCGAAAACGAGUAUUGAUAGUUUACGGCGUGGACUACCAGGGUAUCUAAUCCUGUUUGCUCCCCACGCUUUCGUCCAUGAGCGUCAAUCCAGACCUAGUGAGCUGCCUUCGCUAUCGGUGUUCUGUGACAUAUCUAAGCAUUUCACCGCUACAUGUCACAUUCCGCCCACUUCGAUCGAAUUCAAGUCCUACAGUAUCAAUGGCAGUUCUACAGUUGAGCUGUAGGCUUUCACCACUGACUUAUAAGACCGCCUGCGGACCCUUUAAACCCAAUGAUUCCGGAUAACGCUUGCACCCUCCGUAUUACCGCGG